UCUCUAUCAGUGUGAUCUGUAGCUAAAAUAUCCUGUGAAAGAGGUGGUGGAGGAAGUCGGUCUCUAUCAGUGUGAUCUGUAGCUAAAAUAUCCUGUGAAAGAGGUGGUGGAGGAAGUCGGUCUCUAUCAGUGUGAUCUGUAGCUAAAAUAUCCUGUGAAAGAGGUGGUGGAGGAAGUCGGUCUCUAUCAGUGUGAUCUGUAGCUAAAAUAUCCUGUGAAAGAGGUGGUGGAGGAAGUCGGUCUCUAUCAGUGUGAUCUGUAGCUAAAAUAUCCUGUGAAAGAGGUGGUGGAGGAAGUCGGUCUCUAUCAGUGUGAUCUGUAGCUAAAAUAUCGUGUGAAAGAGGUGGUGGAGGAAGUCGUUAUCUAUCCAUCACUCUCCAGUCAGCUCCAAGCCAUACUGUCGUCAGUUUACAGGUGAGUGUUGAAUACAUUAAACAGCCAUGGCCCUGGCAAUGUCCAGGCUUUUUCUCAUACAAUUACUCCACACCGGCAGAUGUCUCCAUGCUAGUAUUCUUCAAGGUCCUACCUCUUCCAAACAAAUCAUAACAAUCCAGGUAUCUCAAAUAAACAAUCUGAGCUGAGAUUUGACUGAGACAGAAUGGCACCAGACAAACCAGCAUCGCUGAAAGGUACGGUCUUGGUUAGCAACAGUGCAUUAUGGGUCAUGCAAAGCCUAGAGGCGGUGGGUGCAUCUAAGGGUGCAGAGUGCAGCCGUGAGCGAGCAGGAAGAACCCUACAGAGCUGCAGCAACGUGUGCAUUCACCUGGAGGCUCAAGGAGACUAGAGGCCUUGUCAUAGAAAGAGGCUCUCUGAAAGGUCUGAAUGUCUACAGCUCAGAAACAGAGAGAGGGGAGGAUGUGAAGGACAACUCAGCUUCACAUAAUCAUCCAUGCAGACACAGAUUUAUU